CCGACAGUCUAAAAAAAAGAGGGGCUCUCGCGGAAAACUGCUCUCAUGGCUAUCCAUCUUUGUCUCUGGAACGGUUAUGCUCCUUUUCUCCAGAUAUGGCAUCAUUCUUAAGUGAAUGUGAAUCUGUGUCCCUCCCUGGGCAAGAACUACAGCCACCAGAAGGGAAACAUCAUUCUGAAUGCAACAGUGUACAUCCAACCUCCAUGAAAGUGGUGUCAUUCUGAGUGGAGAGAAAGCUUUUACAGGAUACAAAGAUCAACGGCACAGAAGUAUAUUUCUCGUAGCAUCAAGACUAAUUAGAGUUGAUUCAUAGCAACAAAAGUCCCUGUAUUCAAGCCAUCCAUAUGUGAGGAAAUUUAUUAUGGCGUUGGCUCACAAGGUCAUUGGGAUGAAAUGUGCUCUAAUAUGCCUUCUGCAAAGCCUUCUGCAAGGGAAGCCUGUGACAUACUCAAUCUGAGCGUGAAAAUCUGAGACAGGAGUGGAGAGAGAAGUGUGAGUGAAUUGGGUGAGCACUAAUAUACAAGGGCAAGAAAGAGAGGGUGUCCCAGUUUAAGCAUAGAAAAUUUGAACUUCUUCAAUCUUUUUGUAUAUGUAGAUCCUCUAGUAUCUUUGACUCAGUCCCUUAAUGUUACUGUAAUGCAGUGCCUGAAACUAGGUAUCUUAUAAACAACAGAAACUUAUUUCAUGGUUACAGUGUUUGGAAAAUCCAAGACCAAGGCACCAGUAAAUUUGAAA